GGCACAGUGGCGGAGUGGUCUAACGCGUGUGACUCGAAUUUCUCUCCAUCGCUACCCGCGAUAGUUGAGUGUCUAUCACAUCUCUUCGGAGGCGCCCGUUCGAAUCGGGCCUGUGUCG